ACGGAAGGCAGCAGUGGGGAAUAUUGGGCAAUGGGCGCAAGCCUGACCCAGCAAUGCCGCGUGAAGGAAGAAGGCCUUCGGGUUGUAAACUUCUUUUAUCAGGGACGAAUACAAUUGACGGUACCUGAAGAAUAAGCCACGGCUAACUACGUGCCAGCAGCCGCGGUAAUACGUAGGUUGCAAGCGUUGUCCGGAUUUACUGGGUGUAAAGGGCGUGUAGGCGGAGAGGCAAGUCAGAUGUGAAAUCCCGGGGCUCAACCCCGGAACUGCAUUUGAAACUGUUUCCCUUGAGUAUCGGAGAGGCAAGCGGAAUUCCUAGUGUAGCGGUGAAAUGCGUAGAUAUUAGGAGGAACACCAGUGGCGAAGGCGGCUUGCUGGACGACAACUGACGCUGAGGCGCGAAAGCGUGGGGAGCAAACAGGAUUAGAUACCCUGGUA
rnacentral:rRNA from 1 species